GUGCUCGACUUGGCAGCACAUUCACUAAAAUUGGCAUGACACAGAGAUCAGCAUGGCCCCUGCACAAGGAUAACAUGUGAAUUCAUGAAAUGUUCCAUUUUUUA
ensembl:snRNA U6 U6 spliceosomal RNA